UAGUCCACGCUGUAAACGAUGAGUGCUAGGUGGUGCGGGUAUUGACCCCUGCACCGCCGUAGCUAACGCGUUAAGCACUCCGCCUGGGGAGUACGGCCGCAAGGCUAGAACUCAAAGGAAUUGACGGGGGCCCGCACAAGCGGUGGAGCAUGUGGUUCAAUUCGACGCAACGCGCAGAACCUUACCUGGGUUAAAUCCGCCGGAAGUCUGUAGAGAUACGGAUGUGCCCUUCGGGGAAUCGGUGAGAAGGUGCUGCAUGGCUGUCGUCAGCUCGUGUCGUGAGAUGUUGGGUUAAGUCCCGCAACGAGCGCAACCUCUGUCGUUAGUUGCCAGCAUUCAGUUGGGCACUCUAACGAGACUGCCGACGUUAAGUCGGAGGAAGGUGGAGACGACGUCAAGUCCUCAUGGCCCUCAUGCCCAGGGCUACAUACGUGCUACAAUGGGCGGUACAAAGAGCUGCGGAACCGUGAGGUGGAGCCAAUCUCAAAAAACCGUCCUCAGUUCGGAUUG
rnacentral:rRNA from 1 species